AAGAAGAAGUUGACGGUGUUUAUGAAAUCACAGCACAAAAACAAUUUAUCCACAAACAUACUGAAUGACACUUGAAGAUACUGAAUAACAAGAGACUCACUGAAAGAGACUGAAAAUCCAAGGGAGGCAGAGGAGUAACAACAUGUCCAAGCUGGGAAAUAUAUCUCCGGGCCUCUCAAUGACAAGAAGUAAGUUACUGGAAAAAAAAGCGGAGAGUCCUCAGACUUGUGAUCAGUGCGGAAAGAGUUUCACCCGAAAAGAGAAGCUCAAAGAGCACAUGAAAAUCCACACCGGAGAGAAGCUGCCUACGUGUGAUCAGUGCGGGAGGAGUUUCACAUAUAAAACGUCUCUUAGAGUGCACAUGAAAAUCCACAGCGGAGAGAAACCGCACACCUGUGAUCAGUGCGGGAAAAGUUUCACACAUAAAGGAACCCUUAAAAAUCACAUAAGAGCUCAUACGGGAGAGAGGCCGUACACGUGUGAUCAAUGUGGAGUUUGUUUCAAACAGAAACGAAGUCUUGAGGAUCACUUGACAAUUCACACUGGAGAAAAGCCGCACCAAUGUGAUCAAUGC
rnacentral:lncRNA from 1 species